UACAUGAUCUCUUACACUCUCUUCAUCACUCCUGCCUAUCUCUAACUUUCCAUAUUUCUUUCUCUCUCUCACACUGUUCACCUCCUACUAACUCUCUCACUUUUUCUUUCUCUCUCUCUCUCUCUCUUUCUCUCUGACUCACUUCCUCUCUCAUUUCAAGCUAUUUGUGAUAAAUUGUUCUUCACAGAAUAAAUUUUGGCAUGAUAAGAAUUCGAUGCUAUAUAAAGUGUUGAUGCGAUAUCUGCAACAAACCAAUUUUGUUUAGAAUCCUUGAUAUAUGUUUAGUUAUGAUAGUAGAGGUUUAGUUGAGUCCAUGUCGGUUUCUAUCCAUCCUGUGAUUAUAUCUUUUUCUUGUCGUCAUUAAAGUGUAUGUAAUUAUUAGUGAAUAAAUUGUCAAUAUUAAGGCAGUUAUUGGACUAACAAACUUGUUCAGUUGUUCAAAAAUUCAUUUCGUCUUUGUUUUAUUUUUUAAGAAUUUCAAGAGAAGCUUUUUUUUUUCAUUUCUUUUCGCUUCUAUGAUUUAUUUAUUGACUGUGUAUUGUAAUGUGUGGAAUCCUUAAGAAGCAUGCAUUAUUAUUAUUAUGGUCUUAUCAUUAUAUAAAUUCAGUUCUUGCUGGCCAUUUGAAAUUAAUUGCUAGUUUUGUUUCCACAGAAUUUCAUCGCCUUUUAUUUCUUUAUUUCUUUAUUGAUCUCUUGAAAAAAAAAAAAUAAUCAAAAUUUGCUUAAGGAAUUGUUUUAUAUUUGUAAAAUUCCAUAUUUUUAUUAUUUUUCCUUUAGUUUUGUGCGUGUAUAUUGAUAAUGACAAUGAUUAAGUACAUUAAUUUCAUAAUUUCCUUUAAUGAAUUAAUGUAAAAUUCAAAUCUCUAGAGUGUGUGUUCAAGCUCUGUAAUUUCCUUAAAGAAGGCUAGCAACAUCUUUUCUAUGAUCAAGUGCUCUUUAAUGGAUCCAACCAUGACCAUGCCAGAGCAACUGAAUGAUAUAUACUGACAAGAGCUGUGUUAUGUUAUUUAAUUAUCUGCAUGAUCUGUUAUUGUCGAGGCAUGAAGCAUGUUAUUAUUUAAUUAUAAAAUCUCAUAUGUCUCUCCUCUCUCUCUCUCUCUCUCCUCUCUCUCUCUCUCUCUCUCUCUCUCUCUCUCUCUCUGGUAAUAUUUAUUGUCUUGCAAAUCUUUAUGCAGACUUUUUAAUUUUGCAAUUUAUUAUUCCUUAAAAAAAAAUUAAAAAAUUUAGAAUUAAUAGCACAGUCUAUUCCUUCACUUUUCGCUUACAUUUUCGAAUAUACCAAAUGUUGCGAAGGAAAAAGGGAGUUAGGUAUUUAAAAUACUGAAUCUUCUCAUGCUGUGCCUAUGUUUCUAAAUUAUCUUAUACACAUCAUUGUUGGUUAUAGUCGCAAAAAAGCUUUCUUUGCUAUCGUAUUCUUGUAUUUUAAAAAGUCUUUCAUUUCUUAUUCGACCUAAACGUAUUUCUCUAGUUAUUUGUCAUUUGGCUUGCUGCUGCUUUUUACAAAAGAUUGAUGUAGCCAUAAAUUUCGACAAUUACACAGAAUUAAUAGCUGUUAAAAGAACUAUAAGUGCUACUGCUUGCAGACGUUCUGUUGUACAUAAUGUAAAAUUAUAUACAUAUAUAUAUAUUUAAUAAAAUAAAAGUGUUGGAUUGUGUAACUCUUGGUGUAGGGUUAUCUCCCUUACGUAUCUUUCCGCACACCCCUACCUCGUCAAUAAUUGUCGUCAGAAUUAACUCCCUUGGACCUCCUAUUUGUUUUUUGCUUUUCACUAGAUAUGCUUAUGACUAUCUGGAGACAGUUUAGCUUCGAAAAGAUCCAUCUCGAAAUAUUUACCACAAACGGUGUUUUAAUGAUACUCUAUUAUUCGCAAUUAUUAUAAAUCUUAGCCGCUGUUCACUUGUUUUUUUUCUUCUUUUUUUUUUUUUUAACUUACUGCUUCAGUAAUCUUCUUAACUGAUUUAUAUUCUAAACUUCUUCUGUUGCAUAUUUUUUAGUUUAUCUUCUGAACAAUAGUAAUUAUAAUUAUCUCUGUUAAAAUAUUAUAUUGUCAUUUUAAUUACAAUGUUACUCUUUCCAUUUACUUUAUACAUUAAAGAAAGAAAAAACAACAAACAAACCCAACACAGACUUUUUGCUUCUUAUCGAUAAAAAAAAAGAGAAAAUAUUAAUAAAAUUUAUUUGUAAAUGGAUUUCUUGUUUCUGUUCUAACAAAUGAAGGAAUUCCUUUGCUACAUUUUGCUAUUAUCUUCUAUUGGCAGCAUUUGCUUCUCCUGUCGAGUUUCCUUAUUUUAUGAUGUGCAAUUCUUCUCUCCUCCUCCUUCUUCUUCUUCUUCUUUUCUCAUUCCUUAAAAUUCUACUUCUGCUUAUAUAUUCAACCGCUUCUUGUGCUUCCCUACACUGCAUCUGAUAAUACUUCUAUAGUCAAUGCAGGAUGUCGAUGUCCCCUAUUGCUUUUUCUAGUUUUCAUUUUAUAAAAAGAAAAAAAUCCGCCCUUCUUCAGAUUUUUAUCUAUCUAUCUCUAUAUCGACCUUAAUCACAAAGAUAUGGUUUCCCCAAUUCCCCCCAUUACCCAGAGACUUUCAUGAGCAAUGUUUAUUGUUUUGGUCUAUUAGGAGAAAAAUAUGUGAUAAUUCCAGAAUAUUACAAAAUUGGCACAAUGUCAACUAUUUAUUUAUUCAAAACAUAAACAUAUUUUUAAGCAUGAGACAAUUUUCUUGUUUUGCUUUAUAUUGUAUGUCAAAAUCCAUCAGAUUGCACCACUAUAUUGUAUACAGAACCACCUUUUAUUUGUUAAUUUAUUAUUAUUAUUAUUAUUAUUAUUAUUAUUAUUAUUAUUAUUACAACUGUUAUUACCAUUUUGAAACUCAUAUAUAUAUAUUAUCAUAAAAGGAAAUGACUAUGUCUGUGUUAAUGAAUCCAUAUAUAUACAUGUAUAUAUAUAUAUAUAUAUAUAUAUAUAUAUAGACACAUACACAAACACACACACACACUCAAACACACACACACACACACACACACUCAAACACACACACACACACACUCAAACACACACACACAUACUGUGGAAAAAAAAUUCUCCCGCAUUUUAUAGUUGACAGAGUUUUUGACAGCAAAUGCAAGCUGUACAUUAGUCCAAGCCAUAAUGAGGAAUGGGGGUGGGGGGAAAGA